UAGGGAAUAUUGGACAAUGGGGGCAACCCUGAUCCAGCCAUGCCGCGUGAGUGAAGAAGGCCCUCGGGUUGUAAAGCUCUUUUGUCCGGAAAGAAAAGCUUCGGGUUAAUACCCCGGGGUUCUGACGGUACCGGAAGAAUAAGCACCGGCUAACUUCGUGCCAGCAGCCGCGGUAAUACGAAGGGUGCAAGCGUUACUCGGAAUUACUGGGCGUAAAGCGUGCGUAGGUGGUUGUUUAAGUCUGAUGUGAAAGCCCUGGGCUCAACCUGGGAAUGGCAUUGGAAACUGGGCAGCCAGAGUGCGGUAGAGGGUAGUGGAAUUCCCGGUGUAGCAGUGAAAUGCGUAGAGAUCGGGAGGAACAUCUGUGGCGAAGGCGACUGCCUGGACCAGCACUGACACUGAGGCACGAAAGCGUGGGGAGCAAACA
rnacentral:rRNA from 1 species